rnacentral:rRNA from 1 species
GACGAACCGUGCGAACGUUAUUCGGAAUCACUGGGCUUAAAGCGCGUGUAGGCGGAUGAGCACGUCUGUCGCUGAAAUCCCCCGGCUCAACCGGGGAACGGGCGCGGAUACGGCUUGUCUGGAGGGGCGUAGGGGGACCUGGAACUUCCGGUGGAGCGGUGAAAUGCGUUGAGAUCGGAAGGAACGCCCGUGGCGAAAGCGAGGUCCUGGACGCCUACUGACGCUGAGACGCGAAAGCCAGGGGAGCGAACGGG